CUUCGCCGCUGCUCUGCGCCCAGCCCGGGGGGUUGCCGAGGUGGCUCUGGUGCGGCUCGCAGCCUUGCAGACCCGGAUCUCAUCACUCCUUUCACCGGCAGCACCCUGAGUCCAUCAGGCAAUGGAAACACUCGGCAUCACCACUUCCCGAGGCACCAGAGGGACAUCCUGGCCCCAUCCAGCCCAUCUCCCCACUGCUGAGAGCUGCAGCCAAGGGACGAUAGCGUGGUCUGGGCGCUGGUCUGGGCGGGGCAGGAUGAGGCGGUUCCAGAAGGAAGGAGCUGGGGCCAGUUUCCACAUUGGUAUCACGGGGUCAAGCUCC